GAGUAUUUUGUCUGCCUCCAAACACCAGAAGCAGGUGUAGGAAGCUACCAGAAGGAGGAAUCUAAGACAGCUGUACGACAACCUCAUGUCUGCAUGUAUGGGCUCACAGAAGAGCCGGCAGCACCACCUGAGUCCUGCCCUGCUGAAACAGACAGCUUCUAGGAAACAAAAAGGCAUUUGUUACCCCAUGUUGUUUUUGCAUAACUCCACUUGCCUAUGAAAUUCGGCAUGUGUCCAGUUCUGUUUCCUUGUUCUUAUCCAGCACAAUGAAUACAUCAUUCCAUGAGCCCGCAGCUUAGAGCCGAUUUCACUAUCAUCAUUCGUUUAGGGCUAAUAGUGUUUACUGAGGCUUUCACAGGGCUCUUUGUGACAUGCAGCAGAAGCCAGCCUAGCAACUGUAGCUAACGGGCUUGGAGCAGAGCUGUUCCAAUGCAAACUCACUAGCUCACAGCAUCUCAAGGCAUUUGGCUAGUGUGCUCUGAAAAAUCAAAACGUUCUAACAAAGGAAAAUAAACUGCUAGUGACAAAGACAGACGAGGAAAAUAACAGGCAACACAUGGAGAAGCGCGUCUUCCUUCAUCCACAUUGGUGGUUCUCAGCUGCAGAGGUGUUGGGUCCACGAUGAAAGGAGCAGACAGCAGAAGACCUGGGAGGGGCUCUCAGACACAGAUCCCAGACCUCAAACAACACAAAAGGGAAAGCGGAGAAGCAAGCAGAGAGGACCCAGCAGCCGCCAGGAAAGAAAUCCUCGUCCAGGAAACCGUGGAUGUGGAGAGCAGGUUAAGAAAGGCCAUGGUGUUCAGUGGUACUUUUCCUCUCCCGGUCUGCAGGACAAAGUAG
rnacentral:lncRNA from 1 species